AGCUUGCGGUUUAAUUGGAUUCAACGCCGGAAAUUUUACCGGGACCGACAGCAAUAUGAAGGCCAGGCUGAAGACUUUGCCGGAUUAGCUGAGAGGUGGUGCAUGGCCGUCGUCAGUUCGUACUGUGAAGCAUCCUGUUAAGUCAGGCAACGAGCGAGACCCACGCCCACAGUUGCCAGCGUACUCUCUGGAGUGACGGGUACACUGUGGGGACCGCCGCUGCUAAAGCGGAGGAAGGAAUGGGCAACGGUAGGUCAGUAUGCCCCGAAUAUCCCGGGCUACACGCGAGCUACAAUGGUUGGUACAAUGGGUAUCUACCCCGAAAGGGGACGGGAAUCUCCUAAAACCAAUCUUAGUUCGGAUUGAGGGCUGCAACUCGCCCUCAUGAAGCUGGAAUCCGUAGUAAUCGCGUUUCAACAGAACGCGGUGAAUACGUCCCUGCUCCUU
rnacentral:rRNA from 1 species